AUGACUGACAAUAAUAAAGAGGUCUACUGUCACAAGUAUGUGGUGGUGAAGUUGUUCUCUGCCCAGCUGACAGAGACAGGAGAUACAGAGACAGGAGUCCAUUCUAUUACAAAAAGAUCAUGUUUGACCAGGUGGAGUCAGGCUUCUACUUCAUCGCCCUGGACCACUACACGAACGAGCCAGAAGACGUUAAGUUUGGACCACCAUUACAAUGAGCCUGUCCUCCUAUAGCUCCUCCCACCAGCCUCCACGGUUCUUUUAAUUAUGGUGAUGCCCCAACUGUAAGAACCUGGAGAUCUCUACUGGUUUUGAGGGAGGUGACAUGGCCACAAACAGUGCCUGGGACACCUUCCAGCGCUACCGCUGUCUGGAAAACGGCCAGAGGGUGGUCUGCUGCAACAGUGUGUCAGCUCGGCUGCACCUGGGAACUAAAGGUAUGGCACCUCACUCCCAACAGACAUGUAUGCUUAAACAUACUUGUAUGAUCAUUUAUGUGUUUCUUAAAGUGGCAAUCAGCAGUUGAAACAAUAACAAAGCGUUCUGCCUACCCCUGUUUCGGUAAAAAGCUGAGGGAUGGGGCUUGGGGAAUGUAACCACUCUCAAAUUCAUAGACCGAGCUAUGGAUGCAAGGAUUGACCAUCACACCUCCUUCUGAAACCUCAUUGUAGGAGACGACCCAAAGGUUCCUCGCCUCAGACCUCCAAUGGGUUUUGAGAAGGACACGAGUAGAGAGGAAGUGAGGAGUUGAGCAGAGUUGAAUUGGGACAGAGCUCAUGUCAUUGUUUUAAGUGGAAUCUUAUGUUGAAUGAUACAUUUAUUCUGUUUGCACUUCUAUCUUGGUUCUACUUGUGCCCUUUCCACCGAUGGCUCUGGCUUACUUAUAACAUCUGAUAGGAUGAGACUCCCUAUGUGAUUUGACUCCUGUGUUACAGACUGUAUUCAAUAAAACUUCCAAUGCCAGAUUUUAAAUAAUUUGAGAUUCUGUAACUGAUAGACAAUGGUAGCUCUCAAUCAGACAAUUACUAUAAAACAAAUCUGUUUUCCUGAGUGCAAUGUUCGGUGUUUUUUUUUUUACCCUUUAUUUAACUAGGCAAGUCAGUUAAGAACAAAUUCUUAUUUACAAUGACGGCCUACACCGGCCAAACCUGGACGACGCUGGGCCAAUUGUGCGCCACCCUAUGGGACUCCCAAUCACGGACGGAUGUGAUACAGCCUGGAUUCGAACCAGAGUGUCUGUAGUGACACCUCUAGCACUGAGAUACAGUGGCUUAGACCGC
rnacentral:lncRNA from 8 species